AAACACCUGCUAUGCAAGGCCUAAGCUGCGGAGUUGUCACCUCUGUAGAUUCUUCUUUUAUCGGUAGUGAAGAGACGGAUUUCACAAAGUGGUACCUUUGUUCACUGUCUUUUAGGCAAAGUAAUGUUACGUUGAAGGUCGACAUGCGCAAUGAAGGAAAAGUCGCUGAUAUAAAGAUCACUCCGGGAGGACAACCACCUGUACACGUGAACCAAAAAUACGAAGUUUUGUAUGCUACGAAACACUGCAUUAUUGUCGGUGACGUGCCGGAGCCAACACUUAGAACAUACUGCACCUACUGGGUCAAGAAGAGCGAUGUGAAUAAUCGGCACUGGGCUUGUGACUUCAUAUUCAACCAUUUUUGCCGAAGCCCAGAAAUUUUCAUUAGGGACACAAACAAUUGUUGACCUGAAGGCAAUGCAUAAAUAUAAAAAUGAACCACACCAUUACAAUUGACGAUGAUGUUCAAUGUUAGCGAAAAGCGUCUAGAUAACAAUUCGUUUUAUUAAAGAAUGGUAAUGCG
rnacentral:lncRNA from 1 species